rnacentral:misc_RNA from 1 species
GCCACAUCCAUACUCAGUAAUGUCUACAACACAAAUCUGACAAAAUAUGCCUUGAUAAUUUAUUUCACGUAGAGACACGCCAUCUCUACCGAAAAUAUAGAAUCAAACAAAGAACAGUUUUGUCCAUUGGUUUUAAUACUCGGAAACACACAAAUUUAUCGAAAAUACUUUCUGAUCCAAUUCUCAUCCUCACAACAUGUUGGACGCUCUAAUUCUUCACAGUGGUCACAUGCUUCAAAAGCAUAUGAACAACAUCGUGAGAUAUGAUUGACGCCUCGGUCUUCAAGUGUUCGAUCUUUGCAUCAGUUUCAUGUUCAAGACGCUUGACAUUAGCACCCGAGUCGCCGCUGCUCUCAUCAACCUUCCGCUGAAAUUCAGCUUCCAUCUUAGCACGAUAUUCUGCUAUCUCCUUUUCCGCCUCUUCUUUUGCCUGCUUUAGCCUCGCAGUUUUUGCAUUCCUUGCAGCAUUGACGAUUUGCUGAGCUUCUUGCUCCGCAGCUAGCAACUGCUGGAUUCCACCUUGACGCCUGUUGGAAUCCAUCUGCUACCUGUGAAAGCGGGUCUCCGGGUGCCGUGAAU